rnacentral:rRNA from 1 species
AAAUAAUAAAUGGUUUGAUUAAAUUUUAUAUGAAGAUCAAAUGUAAAGUUUAGGGGUAUUGGCGGUGUUUUAUUAAAUUCUGAGAAUCUUGCAUUAUUAAAAUGAUAUUACACAAAUUAUCUUAUCUUGGUAAAAAUGGUUUAUAUAUUGCUGUUUAAUUUAUGAAUUAAGUAAGAAAAUAAAUUUAAUAAUAGAGGGAUAAGUAAAAAUUUCAAGUCAAAAUGUAGCUAUAUCAAGGUUUUUGUGAGUUGCUUUUUUUUAAAAUAAUAAGAGUGAAUAAAUGGAAUGAAAUAUUUAUGAAAGAAAGGAUUAGGUUGUAAGAAAAAAGAAAGUAGUUAGUUUUUCUGAUAAUUUUUAUAUACAUGU